UUUUGUUACCGCUAUGGCUUUGCAGCGAAUAAACCACCAGGUUUCGAUCUAGCUAUUAUUAAUAUUUGCUUAUUUUCCAGAUUCUUUCUAUAUCGUUUCCUUAUGUUUCAUACUUUGUGUAAGUGAUGGUUGCUUCCUUCAUAUUAUUUUGAGAUUUUGAAACAUUUAAAAUGAUAUUGCUUAUACAAAUUUAUCGAGAUUUAUUGUACGACUAAAAAUGAACUAUACAACAUUCCCCCUGUUCAUCUUUCGUUAGUGUUAUUAGCAAUCCUGUCAGCGAGAACGAAGUAUUGCUCGACUCUUGAGAAAAAAUAAGAGUGGCUUGUUUCUGUGCUACUUGAUUAGUUCGUUCAGUUAAGCGUAAUAUAAUUUGUAUAAAAAAAACCGAAGAAACCCAAUAACCGCAAAGGGUGCAUUACGGUUCACACGUCUUUUUUUAUAGUCGAACGACGUCUUUAUGUUUAACAACUCUUGUGUAAUCCCUUUUUGUUUCUUUAAUUUACUAAUUUAAUCAUCAUGCAUUCCAAAGAAAGUGGAUGGAUUAACUCAAUAUCGUUUUCUCAUCAAAUACGAUUCUAAUUAACUGGUCAAAGAGUGUUAGAUGUCACAGCGUAUAGCAAGUUGAUUAAUAACGGUUAGUGCCAGUUUCUACUUCUUUUUACUGAAAAGAUGUUUGUUGUUAUUAUAUCAAUCUAGCUGUGUUUAUCGACGUUUUAUCUUUUGUUUUCAAUGACAAUUUAUUAACAAAAUAAGAAAUAAAAAAGGCAUACGAACAGUGGUUGCCGUCCUGCACAAAUCGUUGAACUGCUUAAAGUUUAAACUUGUCAUGUGCUUCAAAAUUCUGCGUGGAUCACGUUCAUUAAAUUAUAUUGUGCACUUAAGAUGUGUAUCAAAGUUGAUACAGUGGAGCACUUUUGAUUUUCAAAAAAUUUAGUUUCCGAAUUUAAUAACCAGCUUGAGUGUCUGUUAUGGACAUAAAAAAUAUAACGAGAAAGUGUGGUGAUCUAUGGGCAGGUCGAUGACUGGAUUCUGACUUAAAAUUCAAUUAGCAAACAAAUACUUCGGGAUGUCGUAUCCUAAUCCUUCAGCUGUCUUAAUGAAUAAAGAUCGGACGGCCCACAAAUUUUCGGAGAACUUUGAUGGUGUGCGAAUGAGCACGUUGUGCCCGUAACAGUCAAAAGGAGUAGUUGAGAAUUCAAUGUAACUAUUAUAAAGUUUAGUUACACGUUGGAUUUGCUCUCCUCGAAAUCCAAUGAGUUUUUUGUGAAUCUCCUCUGGAACGUAAAAGUGCAUCUCAGCUGGAAAUUCAAGCAACAUUGUGUUCAUUCCUUUAAUUACUCUUUCCAAUUCGUCACUAUAUAUAUCAACCGUGAAUAUACUCGUCGACUGGGGACAAAACAAGAUGUCCCCAUUCUUUAAGUUGAAACGGCAUUGCUGCUUUACCUUAUCCAGUUUUCCAUUUUUUUUACCGGAUAUGAAAUCUUGAUCCUUGGUUGGGGCUUCAAGCAGUAUCUGGUGCCAUUGGGAUUGUCCAAAUUUAUAAAAUAUUUUGCUUGCUUUAUCCAUUGCUAUAGGCACGGUGUUUUCUUGUCCGAAAUAUUCAAUCCCAUUGGUUUUUAGGAGCAUUUCGACUCCAGAAGCCAUGCAAAUUAUUGCAAUUUGAGCUACAAAUUCUGUUGGUGGAAUACUUAGCUUCUUAAGAGGAGAGAAUGACAUUUUUUCUCCUAUUCCAUUUGUUUCCACUAUGGAGCCAGUCGAGGAUACAAUAGAGGACAAUUCAGAGCUUGAAACUCCUUUUUCAAUUGUAGACGCUCUUCUCCAAGAACCAGCAACUCUCAGAAAGUCUUCGUUGUCUUCAACUCCAAACUGAGUUUUUCCUUGUACAUAUUUACUUGCAAGCUUUGCCAAUCGGAGUGCUGUUUUUUCAGAAUUCGCUAUAGAAGAUGAGUAGAUUUUGACUUUUGAAUUUUCUGGGCUCGUUUCUCCUCCUUCUUUGAAAUACUCAGGAAAGCGAAUAAACGAAGAAUUUUCUUCCAUAAUAAGCCGAAGCUCAUCCAUUUCGUAAGCGAGAAAUUCGAAAAGCUUAACAAAUGAAAUUUCUGUUACGUGAGUAAACAGUUUUAGAUGUUCUUCUGCGUAAUAAAACGCCUCUUCGAGUCUUUGCAAUUUUUCCUCUUCUCCUGUAAUAAUUAUUUUACUUGAGUUUAAGGCGGGUAAGGUUUGAAGCCGAGGGAUUGAGUCGCUGCAAAACGGUAAUGUAUAAAUAUUAAUUGAUUCAGUAGCCUUCAUUCCGGCAGUACUAGAAAAUGCUUUUCCAACGAGAAUUGGCUGAAAAGAUACAGAAGUUGCAAUAGCUACUACCGAUAAUCCUCUGAUUUCAUCCAUUAAUGCUAAUACGCGAAUUCUAGCAUGUUCAACGCUGCAAUAGUCACCAUAAAAGACAAUAAAAAAAGAAUUCUCUGCGUUCUUUUGACAUGAAAAUUCAUGCCUAGUAGACUCUAAAUGCCUUUGGUAGAAGCUUUGUUGUUCAUUUAAUCGAUUGCUGAAUCCGCUGUCAGUACGUAGCUGAAAAUCGAUAUCAUGACACAUGGAACGAUGCAUGAUAUAAAUUUUUGCUCCCGUUAUUUCCGUUAUUUUGUCCAAAUGUUUCAUAGUGUCUUCAUAAACGUACCCAUCUUCAUCAAAAAGGAGGUUUUCGAGGGGUUCUUCGAGCACAAGUUUGCUGAUUAGAAUUUUGGGAAUGGCUUGCAAAAUCUUUAUUUUUGCAGUGUACACAUUUUUAUAAUUUCCUGAAACAGUAACCACUAGUUCAUUGCGGGAAGAUGAUAUGCUCAUUCCUUUAUGUUUGACAUGUAGUUUUAUAUUAACUGGCAACUCUUUUUCUGUCUCAAUGCACUUUUCUUCGGUUAAUCUCCUAAUUUGAGAGUAAAUAUCGCUUUCAUAAUAGUCACAUUUACUAGCAUAAAGGGAUGCCUCUUCGGGAGGAGGUGUAGAUGGAUCAGGAAUUGGAAAUGCUAAAACAUGAGAAUCCAUUUUGGUGAUUUUAAGCACAAAAUUUUCUUAUUGUUAAAUCGUUUGAUUGGAAAUUUCGAAGCUUAGUGAAGAGUAAGUUUUUCGUGUUCGAAAGAAAGAUUAAAAGAAAUCCAAAGGAAUGAUAAACGAUAUAGGUUUGAAUACAAAAUUAUUCCGAAAGUUACUUCUGAAGGGUUGGUUGUUGGUUGUGUUGUUGCUUCCGUGAAAGUUAUUGUUUAGCUUCCAAAUGUAAAUAAACAAUGAAUAAAUCUUGGAAUUGAUAUGCGAUUGGCAAUGAAUGAUAGCUUAAACUUUAAUUUUUUGCUGAAAAAUAAACAGAACGUUUUCGCAGAACGAUGUGUAUUGUACUAGUUUGACUGUGGAAUACAAGUUUGUUUAUGCAAAGGUAGACACAUAUAUAUAUACAGCACAUGACUCUAAGGUGAUGCACUAAUGACUAGGAAUACUUUUAACAUAACCAUCACAAUUUUGUAUUCUUUUUACUAAUUAGGAUGGCUGAUUUAUGAUCUGCCAAAGCCUCUUUAACUCAAAACAGUAUAUGAUUUGCCAUUGACAUUUUUUCAGAAAAGGGGGAAUAUGAUUAUAUGAUUGUGAAAUAUACG
rnacentral:lncRNA from 1 species